rfam:Ovis aries breed Texel chromosome 3, whole genome shotgun sequence.
UCGCUGGUGGUCCAGUGGUUAAGACUCUGCACUCUCAAUGCAGGAGGCAUGGGUUCCAACCAUGGUCAGGGAA